rnacentral:rRNA from 1 species
GUGCACCAGGCGAGAAAACUUCACAAUGUGCGAAAGCACGAUGAGGGAAUCCCAAGUGCUUGCUCGUAAGAGUAAGCUGUUUCUCUGUCUAAAACGCAGAGAGAGUAAGGGCUGGGUAAGACGGGUGCCAGCCGCCGCGGUAAUACCUGCAGCUCGAGUGGUGGCCGCUAUUAUUGGGCCUAAAACGUCCGUAGCCGGUUUAUUAAAUGCCUGGGUAAAUCGGACCGCUUAACGGUUCGAAUUCCGGGUAGACUGAUAAACUUGAGACCGGGAGAAGCUAGAGGUACUCCUGGGGUAGAGGUGAAAAUUCUGUAAUCCUAGGGGGACCACCAGUGGCGAAGGCGUCUAGCUAGAACGGGUCUGACGGUGAGGGGACGAAGCCCUGGGGCGCAAACGGGGAUUAGAUACCCGUGUAGUCC